rnacentral:rRNA from 1 species
UUGGAGGGCAAGUCUGGUGCCAGCAGCAGCGGUAAUUCCAGCUCCAAUAGCGUAUAUUAAAGUUGUUGCAGUUAAAAAGCUCGUAGUUGAAUUUCGGGGUUCUACCGUUGGUCGGGCUUUGUCUGUACUGGUGUGUAGAAUUUCUACCUUCUGGGGAACCAUCAUGCUAUUAAUUUAGCGUGGUGGGAAACCAGGACCUUUACCUUGAAAAAAUUAGUGUGUUCAAAGCAGGCUUAUGUCUGAAUACAUUAGCGUGGAAUAAUAGAAUAGGACGGUGGUCCUGUUUUGUUGGUUUCUGAAUCACCGUAAUGAUUAAUAGGGAUAGUUGGGGGCAUUAGUAUUCAAUUGUCAGAGGUGAAAUUCUUGGAUUUAUUGAAGACUAACUUCUGCGAAAGCAUUUGCCAAGGAUGUUUUCAUUAAUCAAGAACGAAAGUUAGGGGAUCGAAGACGAUCAGAUACCGUCGUAGUCUUAACCAUAAACUAUGCCGACUAGGGAUCGGACGAUGUUAAUUUUUCUUGACUCGUUCGGCGCCUUACGGGAAAC